rnacentral:rRNA from 1 species
CUGCUGCGUCCACCUCAGCCCUGCGUCAGACGUCAAUGCUGGCUGCGGGUGUCUGGUGUGGCCAGCGGGUGCAUUUUCACCGAUGCGCACUGGAAGCUGUGCUUGCGCUGGAGGAAGGCGCGGAAUGCCGGCCAAAUAUGUUGGUGUCCCUUCUGCGCCGGAAGCCGGGUCGCGAGUACGGUCUUGAUGGGAAAGGAACACCCGCCUUUACUCGUGGCCGCCGUGUGCCUGGCUCAGUCGGAAGUUGGUUGCUUGCAACUCUCGGCCGGCUGCGGCUUUGCACCUGGUGGCUUUCGAGUCGGUGUUAUUCCGGUGUUUGUGUCAGCCACCCAUCUGACCCGUCUUGAAACACGGACCAAGGAGUCUAACAUGUGCGCGAGUCAUUGGGUGUUCAAACCCACAGGCGCAAUGAAAGUGAAGUCUAGUUCGGCUGGACGAUAUGGGAUCCUUCGCUUCA